rnacentral:rRNA from 1 species
UACGGAAGGGGGCUAGCGUUGCUCGGAAUCACUGGGCGUAAAGCGCACGUAGGCGGAUUGUUAAGUCAGGGGUGAAAUCCUGGAGCUCAACUCCAGAACUGCCUUUGAUACUGGCGAUCUCGAGUCCGGGAGAGGUGAGUGGAACUGCGAGUGUAGAGGUGAAAUUCGUAGAUAUUCGCAAGAACACCAGUGGCGAAGGCGGCUCACUGGCCCGGUACUGACGCUGAGGUGCGAAAGCGUGGGGAGCAAAGCAGGAUU